rnacentral:misc_RNA from 1 species
GGGUCGUCUGAAGAUCAUUGAUAGGUGAAAUUGUCUCUAAGAUAGCAUUUGGUUUGAAUUAAUGAUGAUUAUUGAAUCAAAGGCAUAUUUCAUAGAUUCCCAUAUACAUUAGAACCACUGUACUUGAGCUUUACUAUAAAACUUUAAUUAUGUAGAAUUAGGCGGCUCAGAGAUCACUUGCUGUCUCACUAUAAAUUGAGCCAUUUAACUUUUGCUUAUGGAAAAGACAAGUUCAACUUGACUGGGCUUUUAGUUGCCAUACACACCAUCAGAAAGUAUUUCUAAGAUGCCAAAUAUUUUUAAAUUGUGGUAAUCAUGGAAGCUUAGGUGAUUUUUCUCCUUCCAAUGAAGUAUGAAUUCAUGGAAAAACUCAUAUUAUAUAUUCAGGGUUUUUCUGAUUGGACCUUGGCACUUAUGUUUUGGAGCAUGUGUAGCUUUCAGCAAUUUUAAUAGAAACACUUGUAUGUUGGUGCAGAAAGAAGAACAUUUUUAAGCU